CAUUGGGUGGCUGAAGAGUAAGUGAUGGUCUCUUAAACCAUUCUAUAGUAUAUUAACAAAUACUUCCAAUGG
rnacentral:tRNA from 1 species